CAGCCGCCGCGGUAAUACCGGCGGCUCGAGUGGUGGCCACUUUUAUUGGGUCUAAAGCGUCCGUAGCCGGCUUGGCAAGUCCCCUGGGAAAUCUGGCGGCUUAACCGUCAGGCGUCCAGAGGAUACUGCCAGGCUUGGGACCGGGAGAGGUGAGAGGUACCUCAGGGGUAGGGGUGAAAUCUUGUGAUCCCUGAGGGACCACCAGUGGCGAAGGCGUCUCACUAGAACGGGUCCGACGGUCAGGGACGAAAGCUGGGGGCACGAACCGGAUUAGAUCCCCGGGUAGUCCCAGCCGUAAACGAUGCUCGCUAGGUGUCAGGCAUGGCAUGACUGUGCCUGGUGCCGAAGGGAAGCCGUGAAGCGAGCCACCUGGGAAGUACGGCCGCAAGGCUGAAACUUAAAGGAAUUGGCGGG
rnacentral:rRNA from 1 species